rnacentral:lncRNA from 1 species
CUUGCAAUUCUGUUACAACAUACCACCUACUUGCUCUUUCUUGGCCUCACAAAUUGUUUCUCUGAGGGGCUGCUACGAAAGAAGAAUAUACUUUUAUACCAGGAACUACCAUUUAAGUUAUCUCCUUCCAUCCAUAAUGCUGUUUUACAGACUGAAAUAAGAAGAGCUGGUACUGUUAAAGGAGCUCUCUCAAUCCUUUUUACUGGUGUUUUCCUGGAAAAAAAAAGUCACAGUGUUUGUUUGUUUUACAGUAUAUUUUGUUUUAGUUUUACUUGUGUUCAGCAAAGAUUAUUGACACUGAAAAGUGAAAGCCUGAGAAGAAAUGGAGGAGCCCAGAAAAAAUACUGGAAAGAAAGAGAAAGAAGGAUUGAAAGAAAGUCAAGAGAGAAGUACGCUAAGAAGCUGAGAAUUCAAGCUUCAGUUCCCAAAGAAGAGGGGCACCAAGAGAAUGGCCUGGUGGGAGCGCGUCUGUUAGCUGCGCCCAACUCACUGCAGCAUCAGAAACCGUUCACAGACACUCAGCCACUUCACUGGAAAGAAGUAGAUUGAACACAAGUAGCUUUGAGCUUUGCUCUUGUGAUUGAAGCCAGCUCACGUUUAGGUACCGCUGGACAAAACGGAACCGCGCGUCUCGAUAUCUGUCUCCCCUAGAGUAAGAAAUAGGUAGCAGUCCCUUAAUUCUUCUAACUUAGUUUAGAAUCAGUUAAUUAAUCAGUAGCUGUGACUAAUUACUCACUUCCAAUUAACCUGG